rnacentral:rRNA from 1 species
GAUGAACGCUAGCGGCAGGCUUAACACAUGCAAGUCGAGGGGCAGCGCGGGGUAGCAAUACUCUGGCGGCGACCGGCGCACGGGUGCGUAACAGGUGUGCAAUCUGUCCAUAGGUCGGGGGAUAGCCCAGCGAAAGCUGAAUUAAUACUCCAUGUGAAUCGAAGCCGCAUGACUUUGAUUUGAAACGCAAGGACUAUGGGUGAGCACGCUUCUGAUUAGGUAGUUGGUGGGGUAACGGCCCACCAAGCCGACGAUCAGUAGGGGUUCUGAGAGGAAGGUCCCCCACAUUGGAACUGAGACACGGUCCAAACUCC